CCUACGGGAGGCAGCAGUGGGGAAUAUUGGGCAAUGGGCGCAAGCCUGACCCAGCAACGCCGCGUGAAGGAAGAAGGCUUUCGGGUUGUAAACUUCUUUUAAGAGGGAAGAGCAGAAGCCGUUACCUCUUGAAUAAGCCACGGCUAACUACGGCCCAGCAGCCGCGGGAAUACGUAGGUGGAAAGCGUGGUCCGGAUUUACUGGGUGGAAAGGGCGUGCAGCCGGGAAGACAAGUCAGAUGUGAAAUCCCGCGGCUCAACCGCCGAACUGCAUUUGAAACUGUUUUUCUUGAGUACCGGAGAGGUCAUCGGAAUUCCUUGUGUAGCGGUGAAAUGCGUAGAUAUAAGGAAAAACACCAGUGGCGAAGGCGGAUGACUGGACGGCAACUGACGGUGAGGCGCGAAAGCGUGGGGAGCAAACAGGAUUAGAUACCCCUGUAGUC
rnacentral:rRNA from 1 species